UACGGAGGGUCCAAGCGUUGUCCGGAAUCACUGGGUGUAAAGGGUGCGCAGGCGGGCGUGUAAGUCAGGGGUGAAAUCCACCGGCCUAACCGGUGAACUGCCCUUGAUACUGCACGUCUUGAGUCCCGGAGAGGCUAUCGGAAUUCGUGGUGUAGCGGUGAAAUGCGUAAAUAUCACGAGGAACACCGGAUGCGUAAGCGGAUAGCUGGACGGGUACUGACGCUCAGGCACGAAAGCGCGGGGAGCGAACAGG
rnacentral:rRNA from 1 species